rnacentral:lncRNA from 1 species
AGGUUCUUGGACCUGGCUUAAGAAAGAAUUCAGGGAAGAAUGUGCCCUCUGAGCAGACAAAACACAAGAGCUACCCCUUCUUCGGAGCCGAUGCUGCUUCUCUUAGGGUGAGUAACUUGCCUAGAGAGCAUUAUCUGGAUGCCUGUCCCAACUCCACCCCUGGCUAGAUAGCAGCCUGCACAUUCUCAUGCUUUCUAUAGUUUCUAUUUUUUCAGAGAGUUGAUCUUCUUAUGGGC